UCGGGAAUUUUGGGCAAUGGGCGAAAGCCUGAUCCAGCCAUGCCGCGUGAGUGACGAAGGCCUUAGGGUUGUAAAGCUCUUUUGGCGGGGAAGAUAAUGACGGUACCCGCAGAAUAAGCUCCGGCUAACUUCGUGCCAGCAGCCGCGGUAAUACGAAGGGAGCUAGCGUUGUUCGGAAUCACUGGGCGUAAAGCGCACGUAGGCGGAUUGUUUAGUCAGGGGUGAAAUCCCGGGGCUCAACCUCGGAACUGCCUUUGAUACUGGCAAUCUCGAGUCCGGAAGAGGUUAGUGGAAUUCCCAGUGUAGAGGUGAAAUUCGUAGAUAUUGGGAAGAACACCAGUGGCGAAGGCGGCUAACUGGUCCGGUACUGACGCUGAGGCGCGAAAGCCAGGGGAGCAAACGGGAUUAGAUACCCUCGUAGUCCCUGAGCGGGCUGGCAAGGCGCAU
rnacentral:rRNA from 1 species